rnacentral:rRNA from 1 species
UACGUAGGCAGCGAGCGUUUGUUCGGAGUUACUGGGCGUAAAGAGUGCGUAGGCGGUUUUCUAAGUUUUGGUGUGAAAUCUCCCGGCUCAACUGGGAGGGUGCGCCGAAGACUGGAAGGCUUGAGUAUGGGAGAGGUAAGCGGAAUUCCUGGUGUAGCGGUGAAAUGCGUAGAUAUCAGGAGGAACACCUGCGGUGUAGACGGCUUACUGGACCAUAACUGACGCUGAGGCACGAAAGCGUGGGUAGCAAACAGG